AUUGAGCACAGACUGUCCUCUGCACCCUCUUCCUCUCCCAUAUUUUUGUCUAUGACAUGACUUCAGGCAGUGGAGUAUUCGCUGAGCCCCCAAGACCUCUCUUGUCCUGCACAUGAGCUUUUUAGGGCAAAGGCUGGGUCUCAUUGCGUGUUAUUCUGAUGUCCAUCCUGGAGCCUGGAGCAGCUCUAAACAUGGCUGACAGAGAGUCUCAGGGAAAGCAGCCGGGCACACUUGACUUAACUCUUUCUAUGGACCUUCACCACCUACUUUUCCCCUCCAAGUCUCAGUUCCCUCAUUUAUAAAAUGAAGGAAUUUAACUAGAGACCUUCAAAUAUCUCCUCUAGUUGUGGAAGUCUACAUGUCUACUACAUAAUUAAGUUAUGAGUGCCUCUUUUUUGCCAGGAGAUAAGAAACAUGAUACCUCCUUUAAGGAGUUUAUGACCAACCUGGGGAAUUUAUUAUUGUCUACUACUUUAUGUACACAAAUUCCAAAAAGUGAUACUGAGUAUGUAGGAUUCAAUCCCCAAGGAACAGCAAGGAUAUAUGGCAGAGGGAUUUAUCCACUGAGCAUUUAUGGAGUACAGACCGUCUAUGAGCCAUGUUCAGUUCUUCAGUUGAAAUGGGCCAGAGGAAAGAGCCACAAGGACAUAACCAGGACCUAAAACCAGCAGCAUGAUCUUGGGAAAAUUAUUUAAUCCUCUCAAGUUGUACUUUCCAUUUACGUAAAAUGGGGAUUAAAGCGCUAUGGAGAGGAUUUAGUGAUUUAGUGAGUUUGUAAAACUCUGGGGAAAAUUGAAAGUGAGAAAAGUAUUAGUUGCCAUUAUUACUCAUGAUUUUUGUUGGCUCAUUGAUUUU
rnacentral:lncRNA from 1 species